UUUACAUUAUACAUGCACAUUACAAAUUAAACCAAGCUUUAUUUGAUUACAACUUAAACAGCUCUCAUCAAGCUUACAUAAUCCAUAAAAAAUGUACCAUAGGGAAACAUAUCAAUUUCAAAAACAAACAUGACACUAUAAUGCCCAGCUAUAUAAUAACCAAACAAAAAAACUUUAUAAUUUACGUAAUUAACAAAUGAGAGGAAACAACAACAACAACAACAACAGCAGCAACAGCAACAAUAAGCGAGCUACAACUGAUGUUGAUUAAGGCCACUAAGGCAAACAGCUUUCUAGUUGUUGUUAAAGGGAGCUACUAUGCUUAAUGGGCAACUAAGCUGGGCUUGAGCGAAACAGAGCGAGAGAGCGAGAGAGAAAAAGGGAGACAGAGCGAGAGGAAAUGGAAGAUAUAGAUGGCGGGCGUGUUGAGGAAGGGAUUCGGAGGGGAGCAUGGCGUAGGUCUGGCAUUGAGCUACUGCAAGAGAGUGCGAGGAGCAAAGCCAAACAAUCAAGAGUCAGGCUAAGGAGGGGGAAGCUAUCAUACAUCGGGAAGCAGUCAUAUAUUGAACAUGAAUAUAUAGGGUAUAUACAGACGCAAUCGUCUGUAAAGAUACUUGACAUAUAUAAUUGAAUGCUGUGCGCAUAGUUCACUUCCCAGAGCUAAUCUUAUCUCUAUUAUCAGAGGAGAAAUGGGAAGAAAUAAUGCGCGUAAUUCAUUUGGCAUUUCAAGCACUGUCAACUGACUGAGAUGAUAACAACAGCAACAACAACAACAACAAGGAGAUUGGGGAGGAGGCGCAGAGAAGGAGGAGAAGUGAUAAUCAGUCUGUUUAUACAGAUGCGACCCACACUAAGGCAAUAACAACUACAACAGCAGCAACAACGAAAAGAAAACUCAGUGAAACUUGGGGGAAAAAGUCGACGACAAAAAUGUCUUUGACUGCGGAAAAAUAAAGGCAGCCAAGUGUCAUAAACAAUGGGCGAAAGGUGGAGAAAAGCAACGGCAGAGAGAGAGAGAGAGAUAGUGAGAGAGAGAUAGGAAAGAGUAACCCAAAUCAUAUUCCUAAUUGAAAUGCAACUUUGUAACGAUUUGUCGAUUUUUUUUUUGUGAAAUCUUGAGAAACAACAACAAUAAAGCACAUGGCCUUGUCUCUGGGGUAUAUUAUCGAGUAUCUAAA